rnacentral:rRNA from 1 species
UACGUAGGCACCAAGCGUUGUUCGGAGUUACUGGGCGUAAAGAGUGCGUAGGCGGUUUUGUAAGUUCGGUGUGAAAUCUCCCGGCUCAACUGGGAGGGUGCGUCGAAAACUGCAGAGCUUGAGCAUGGGAGAGGAAAGCGGAAUUCCUGGUGUAGCGGUGAAAUGCGUAGAUAUCAGGAGGAACACCGGCGGUGUAGACGGCUUUCUGGACCAUUGCUGACGCUGAGGCACGAAAGCGUGGGGAGCAAACAGGAUUAGAUACCCGCGUA